rnacentral:rRNA from 1 species
UACAGAGGGUGCAAGCGUUAAUCGGAAUUACCGGGCGUAAAGCGUGCGUAGUCGGUUAUCUAAGUCGGGUGUGAAAUCCCCGGGCUCAACCUGGGAAUUGCAUUCGAUACUGGAUAGCUAGAGUUCGGCAGAGGGAAGCGGAAUUUCGGGUGUAGCGGUGAAAUGCGUAGAUAUCCGAAGGAACAUCAGUGGCGAAAGCGGCUUCCUGGACCAGAACUGACGAUCAGGCACGAAAGCGUGGGGAGCAAACAGG